rnacentral:rRNA from 1 species
CCUACGGGAGGCAGCAGUGGGGAAUUUUGGACAAUGGGGGCAACCCUGAUCCAGCCAUGCCGCGUGAGUGAAGAAGGCCUUCGGGUUGUAAAGCUCUUUCGGCCGGGAAGAAAUCGCAUGGGCCAAUACCCUGUGUGGAUGACGGUACCGGAAUAAGAAGCACCGGCUAACUACGUGCCAGCAGCCGCGGUAAUACGUAGGGUGCGAGCGUUAAUCGGAAUUACUGGGCGUAAAGCGUGCGCAGGCGGUUUUGUAAGACAGGCGUGAAAUCCCCGGGCUCAACCUGGGAACUGCGUUUGUGACUGCAAGGCUAGAGUACGGCAGAGGGGGGUGGAAUUCCACGUGUAGCAGUGAAAUGCGUAGAGAUGUGGAGGAACACCAAUGGCGAAGGCAGCCCCCUGGGUCGAUACUGACGCUCAUGCACGAAAGCGUGGGUAGCAAACAGGAUUAGAUACCCUGGUAGUCCACGCCCUAAACUAUGUCAACUAGGUGUUGGGUGGGUAAAACCAUUUAGUACCGUAGCUAACGCGUGAAGUUGACCGCCUGGGGAGUACGGCCGCAAGGUUAAAACUCAAAGGAAUUGACGGGGACCCGCACAAGCGGUGGAUGAUGUGGAUUAAUUCGAUGCAACGCGAAAAACCUUACCUACCCUUGACAUGCCAGGAACUUGCCAGAGAUGGCUUGGUGCCCGAAAGGGAGCCUGGACACAGGUGCUGCAUGGCUGUCGUCAGCUCGUGUCGUGAGAUGUUGGGUUAAGUCCCGCAACGAGCGCAACCCUUGUCGUUAAUUGCCAUCAUUAGUUGGGCACUUUAGCGAGACUGCCGGUGACAAACCGGAGGAAGGUGGGGAUGACGUCAAGUCCUCAUGGCCCUUAUGGGUAGGGCUUCACACGUCAUACAAUGGUCGGUACAAAGGGUCGCCAAGCCGCGAGGUGGAGCCAAUCCCAGAAAGCCGAUCGUAGUCCGGAUUGCAGGCUGCAACUCGCCUGCAUGAAGUCGGAAUCGCUAGUAAUCGUGGAUCAGCAUGUCACGGUGAAUACGUUCCCGGGUCUUGUACACACCGCCCGUCACACCAUGGGAGCGGGUUCCGCCAGAAGUAGGUAGCCUAACCGCAAGGAGGGCGCUUACCACGGCGGGGUUCGUGACUGGGGUGAAGUCGUAACAAGGUAGCCGUAGGGGAACCUGCGGCUG